UUGCAAAACACAUCGCAGCCACACCGGGAGUCCUUGGCAGGUAUUUUAUUUCAUAUAUAGACGCUUUCUGUAAUCAAAUGUGAGUGCAAUCAAACAACAGCAAUACAAACAUU